CCUACGGGAGGCAGCAGUGGGGAAUAUUGGACAAUGGGGGAACCCUGAUCCAGCCAUGCCGCGUGUGUGAAGAAGGCCCUCGGGUUGUAAAGCACUUUCAGUGAGGAAGAACGCCUGGUGGUUAAUACCCAUCAGGAAAGACAUCACUCACAGAAGAAGCACCGGCUAACUCCGUGCCAGCAGCCGCGGUAAUACGGAGGGUGCGAGCGUUAAUCGGAAUUACUGGGCGUAAAGCGCGCGUAGGUGGCUUGAUAAGCCGGUUGUGAAAGCCCCGGGCUCAACCUGGGAACGGCAUCCGGAACUGUCAAGCUAGAGUGCAGGAGAGGAAGGUAGAAUUCCCGGUGUAGCGGUGAAAUGCGUAGAGAUCGGGAGGAAUACCAGUGGCGAAGGCGGCCUUCUGGACUGACACUGACACUGAGGUGCGAAAGCGUGGGUAGCAAACAGGAUUAGAUACCCUGGUAGUC
rnacentral:rRNA from 1 species